rnacentral:ribozyme from 1 species
UCUUUGUCCUCAUGUUCUUUCGUAUCAAGUUGUGAAGGCUCCGGAGCAUGGACUGCACCACGACCCAACCUACACGCACGCCACGCACCACCGCGCGCGCGCGCACACACACACACACACCUGCC